UACGUAGGGUGCAAGCGUUGUCCGGAAUUAUUGGGCGUAAAGAGCUCGUAGGCGGUCUGUCGCGUCGGCUGUGAAAACCCGAGGCUCAACCUCGGGCCUGCAGUCGAUACGGGCAAACUAGAGUACUGCAGGGGAGACUGGAAUUCCUGGUGUAGCGGUGAAAUGCGCAGAUAUCAGGAGGAACACCGGUGGCGAAGGCGGGUCUCUGGGCAGUAACUGACGCUGAGGUACGAAGGCAUGGGUAUCGAUCGGG
rnacentral:rRNA from 1 species